GACGAACGCUGGCGGCGUGCCUAAUACAUGCAAGUCGAACGCAUUUUCUUUCACCGUAGCUUGCUACACCGAAAGAAAAUGAGUGGCGAACGGGUGAGUAGCACGUGGGUAACCUGCCCAUCAGCGGGGGAUAACACUUGGAAACAGGUGCUAAUACCGCAUAAUUCCAUUUACCGCAUGGUAGAUGGAUGAAAGGCGCUUUUGCGUCACUGAUGGAUGGACCCGCGGUGCAUUAGCUAGUUGGUGGGGUAACGGCCUACCAAGGCUGCGAUGCAUAGCCGACCUGAGAGGGUGAUCGGCCACACUGGGACUGAGACACGGCCCAGACUCCUACGGGAGGCAGCAGUAGGGAAUCUUCGGCAAUGGACACAAGUCUGACCGAGCAACGCCGCGGGAGUGAAGAAGGUUUUCGGAUCGUAAAACUCUGUUGUUAGAGAAGAACAAGGAUGAGAGUGGAAAGUUCAUCCCUUGACGGUAUCUAACCAGAAAGCCACGGCUAACUACGUG
rnacentral:rRNA from 1 species